GUAGUGAACAUCAAUUUCUGAAAGGC
rnacentral:piRNA from 1 species